rnacentral:rRNA from 1 species
UCCGAAUGGGGAAACCCAGUGUGACUCGUCACACUAUCAUUAACUGAAUCCAUAGGUUAAUGAGGCGAACCGGGGGAACUGAAACAUCUAAGUACCCCGAGGAAAAGAAAUCAACCGAGAUUCCCCCAGUAGCGGCGAGCGAACGGGGAGGAGCCCAGAGCCUGAAUCAGCAUGUGUGUUAGUGGAAGCGUCUGGAAAGGCGCGCGAUACAGGGUGACAGCCCCGUACACAAAAGCGCAUGUGCUGUGAGCUCGAUGAGUAGGGCGGGACACGUGGUAUCCUGUCUGAAUAUGGGGGGACCAUCCUCCAAGGCUAAAUACUCCUGACUGACCGAUAGUGAACCAGUACCGUGAGGGAAAGGCGAAAAGAACCCCGGCGAGGGGAGUGAAAAAGAACCUGAAACCGUGUACGUACAAGCAGUGGGAGCCCCACCACUAAGCCAGUGGUGAACUCCACAUACGCAUCCUUUGCUGAGGAUACGGUUAACGGAGCGAAAGCGACGUUCAACCGCAAAAGAAGCAGAGGGGGCUUAGUGGUGGGGUGAC